GGAUGUGAGGGCGAUCUGGCUGCAACAUCUGUCAGCCCAUUAAUUGCCAGGGUUGAUUCGGCUAAUCUGGCUGGCUAGGUGGGUGUCCCCUUUCUCCCUCACCGCUCCAUGUGUGUCCCUCCCGAAGAUGGUCAAAGAGGACAGCCAUCCCCGAUAGAGGAGGACCGUUCAGUCAAGGGUAUACGAGUAGUUGCGCUCUCCUCCUAGAACCUCCAAACAAGCUCUCAAGAAUAGGACCUGGAAGUUUGUUGAAGGUCUCCCUAUUAAAGAUGUCUCACAUGAGAAGGUGGAUCUUGCUGCCAAAGCAUUAGCAGAAGAAAAAGAAACUGUUUUUGAAUUCCUUUCCUC
rnacentral:snRNA from 1 species